UUCGUCACACUAUCAUUAACUGAAUCCAUAGGUUAAUGAGGCGAACCGGGGGAACUGAAACAUCUAAGUACCCCGAGGAAAAGAAAUCAACCGAGAUUCCCCCAGUAGCGGCGAGCGAACGGGGAGGAGCCCAGAGCCUGAAUCAGUGUGUGUGUUAGUGGAAGCGUCUGGAAAGGCGCGCGAUACAGGGUGACAGCCCCGUACACAAAAAUGCACAUACUGUGAGCUCGAUGAGUAGGGCGGGACACGUGGUAUCCUGUCUGAAUAUGGGGGGACCAUCCUCCAAGGCUAAAUACUCCUGACUGACCGAUAGUGAACCAGUACCGUGAGGGAAAGGCGAAAAGAACCCCGGCGAGGGGAGUGAAAAAGAACCUGAAACCGUGUACGUACAAGCAGUGGGAGCCUCUUUAUGGGGUGACUGCGUACCUUUUGUAUAAUGGGUCAGCGACUUAUAUUCUGUAGCAAGGUUAACCGAAUAGGGGAGCCGAAGGGAAACCGAGUCUUAACUGGGCGUUAAGUUGCAGGGUAUAGACCCGAAACCCGGUGAUCUAGCCAUGGGCAGGUUGAAGGUUGGGUAACACUAACUGGAGGACCGAACCGACUAAUGUUGAAAAAUUAGCGGAUGACUUGUGGCUGGGGGUGAAAGGCCAAUCAAACCGGGAGAUAGCUGGUUCUCCCCGAAAGCUAUUUAGGUAGCGCCUCGUGAAUUCAUCUCCGGGGGUAGAGCACUGUUUCGGCAAGGGGGUCAUCCCGACUUACCAACCCGAUGCAAACU
rnacentral:rRNA from 1 species